UACGUAGGGUCCGAGCGUUGUCCGGAAUUAUUGGGCGUAAAGGGCUCGUAGGCGGUUUGUUGCGUCGGGAGUGAAAACCAGGUGCUUAACACCUGGCCUGCUUUCGAUACGGGCAGACUAGAGGCAUUCAGGGGAGAACGGAAUUCCUGGUGUAGCGGUGGAAUGCGCAGAUAUCAGGAGGAACACCGGUGGCGAAGGCGGGUCUCUGGGCAGUAACUGACGCUGAGGAGCGAAAGCGUGGGGAGCGAACAGG
rnacentral:rRNA from 1 species